rnacentral:rRNA from 1 species
CAAUAGCGUAUAUUUAAGUUGUUGCAGUUAAAAAGCUCGUAGUUGGAUUUCGGGUGGGACGCAGCGGUCUCGCAUUGCGUUUGUACUGCUGCAGCCCUCCUUCUUGCCGGGGGCGGCCUCUCGGACUUCACUGUCUGGGGUCAGAAUCGGCGAUGUUACUUUGAGUAAAUUAGAGUGUUCAAAGCAAGCUUACGCUCUGAAUAUAAUAGCAUGGGAUAACACGACAGGACUCUGGCCUAUCGUGUUGGUCUAUAGGACCAGAGUAAUGAUUAAGAGGGACAGUCGGGGGCAUUCGUAUUCCGUUGUCAGAGGUGAAAUUCUUGGAUUUACGGAAGACGAACAUCUGCGAAAGCAUUUGCCAAGGAUGUUUUCAUUGA